rnacentral:rRNA from 1 species
CCCUUAGACGUUCUGGGCCGCACGCGCGCUACACUGAUCAGUGCAACAAGCAUCCGUCCUUGGCCGACAGGCCCGGGCAAUCUUUGAACGCUGAUCGUGAUGGGGAUAGACUUUUGCAAUUUUUGGUCUUCAACGAGGAAUUCCUAGUAAACGCAAGUCAUCAACUUGCAUUGAUUACGUCCCUGCCCUUUGUACACACCGCCCGUCGCACCUACCGAUUGAAUGGUCCGGUGAAGCCUCCGGAUUGGCGUGCACCCUCGGGUGCUGCCGAGAAGUUGGCUAAACCUUACCAUUUAGAGGAAGGUGAAGUCGUAACA